rnacentral:tRNA from 3 species
GAGCCAUUAGCUCAGUUGGUAGAGCAUCUGACUUUUAAUCAGAGGUUCGAAUCCUUCAUGGCUCACCA